AAAAACACCGUAACUUGAUGUAGUAGAUAGUAGUGUAAAUUUA
rnacentral:guide_RNA from 1 species